AUGGCGGCGGUGAUGGACUACUUCAGGUCGUGCUGGGGCGCGCGGUCCCGGGCCGGGCGGCGGGGCAAGAAGGGCUCCGACGCCGCCGGCCGCCAGGACGGGCUGCUGUGGUACAAUGACGCCGGCCAGGCGGUCACCGGCGACUUCUCCAUGGCGGUAGUGCAGGCCAACAGCCUGCUGGAGGACCAGAGCCAGGUGGAGUCCGGCUCGCUCUCCAUGGCCGACCCCGGCCCGCAGGGCACCUUCGUCGGCGUCUAUGACGGCCAUGGCGGCCCGGAGACCUCCCGCUUCAUCAAUGACAACAUGUUCCACCAUCUCAGAAGAUUUGCAACCGAGCACAAGUGCAUGUCGGCCGAUGUGAUCCGGAAAGCCUUCCAAGCAACCGAGGACGGUUUCCUUUCUGUAGUCAGCAAGGAAUGGUCUAUGAAGCCUCAGAUCGCGGCAGUGGGCUCUUGCUGCCUGGUCGGCGUAAUUUGCUCCGGGACUCUCUACAUCGCAAACGCGGGCGACUCGCGUGCUGUUCUCGGAAGGCUCGUCAAGGCGACCGGUCAGGUUGUGGCCAUGCAGUUAUCGGCGGAGCACAACGCGUGCUACGAGGAAGUUAGGCAGGAGCUACAGUCAUCACACCCUCAUGAUCCACAAAUUGUGGUUCUGAAACACAACGUUUGGCGUGUGAAGGGCCUCAUCCAGAUAUCAAGAUCUAUCGGAGAUGUAUAUCUGAAAAGACCAGAGUAUAACAGAUCACCUCUACAUAGCAAGUUUCGGCUCCGGGAAACCUUCAAGAAGCCAAUUCUUAGUUCUGAACCUGCGAUUGCUGUUCACCAAAUACAACCGAGUGAUCAGUUUGUUAUAUUUGCUUCUGACGGGCUAUGGGAGCACCUCAGCAAUCAGGAAGCAGUUGACCUUGUCCAAAGUAACCCUCGUAAUGGGAUUGCGCGGAAGCUAGUGAAGGCCGCGAUGCAAGAGGCGGCAAAGAAGAGGGAGAUGAGGUACUCGGACCUGAAGAAGAUCGAGCGCGGGGUGCGGCGGCAUUUCCACGACGACAUAACGGUGGUCGUGGUGUUCCUGGACGCCACGAGCGCCGUGAGCAGGGCGGGGUGGAGCAAGAGCCCGUCGGUGUCGGUGCGAGGGGGCGGCGUGAGCGUCCCCGCCAACUCCCUCGCGCCUUUCUCGGCCCCCGCCAUGGUCAGCAGCACCUACUGA
rnacentral:rRNA from 1 species